GAUGAACGCUAGCGGCAGGCCUAAUACAUGCAAGCUGAACGGCAAGUUGAAUAGCAAUAUUUGACCUAGAGUAGCGUAAGGGUGCGUAACACGUAUGCAAUCUGCCCGCAACAGGAGGAUAGCUUGAUGAAAGUUGAGAUAAGACUCCAUAAGAUCACAGGAGGGCAUCUGAUAGUGAUUAAACUACAAGGGGUUGCGGAUGAGCAUGCGCAUGAUUAGUUAGUGGCGGAGUAACGCCACAAGACAAUGAUCAUUAGGGGAACUGAGAGGUCGGU
rnacentral:rRNA from 1 species